AUUGAACGCUGGCGGCAGGCCUAACACAUGCAAGUCGAGCGGAUGAAGAGAGCUUGCUCUCUGAUUUAGCGGCGGACGGGUGAGUAAUGCCUAGGAAUCUGCCUGGUAGUGGGGGAUGACGUUCCGAAAGGAACGCUAAUACCGCGUACGUCCUACGGGAGAAAGCAGGGGCACUUCGCGCCUUGCGCUAUCAGAUGAGCCUAGGUCGGAUUAGCUAGUUGGUGGGGUAAUGGCGCACCAAGGCUACGAUCAGUAACUGGGCUGAGAGGAUGAUAAGUCACACUGGAACUGAGACACAGUCCAGACUCCUACGGGAGGCAGAAGUGGGGAAUAUUGGACAAUGGGCGAAAGCCUGAUCCAGCCAUGCCGCGUGUGUGAAGAAGGUCUUCGGAUUGUAAAGCACUUUAAGUUGGGAGGAAGGGCGUUUGGCUAAUAUCCAGGCGUGUUGACGUUACCAACAGAAUAAGCACCGGCUAACUACGUGCCAGCCGCCGCGGUAAGAC
rnacentral:rRNA from 1 species